rnacentral:rRNA from 1 species
GAUGAACGCUAGCGGCAGGCUUAACACAUGCAAGUCGAGGGGUAUAGUUCUUCGGAGCUAGAGACCGGCGCACGGGUGCGUAACGCGUAUGCAAUCUACCUGUUGCAGAGGGAUAGCCCAGAGAAAUUUGGAUUAAUACCUCAUAGUAUGUGAGAAUGGCAUCAUUUUCACAUUAAAGUCACAACGGCAAAAGAUGAGCAUGCGUCCCAUUAGCUUGUUGGUAAGGUAACGGCUUACCAAGGCAACGAUGGGUAGGGGUCCUGAGAGGGAGAUCCCCCACACUGGUACUGAGACACGGACCAGACUCCUACGGGAGGCAGCAGUGAGGAAUAUUGGACAAUGGGCGCAAGCCUGAUCCAGCCAUGCCGCGUGCAGGAUGACGGUCCUAUGGAUUGUAAACUGCUUUUGUACAGGAAGGAACACUGGUUCGUGAACCAGCUUGACGGUACUGUAAGAAUAAGGAUCGGCUAACUCUGUGCCAGCCGCCGCAGUAAAAC